GACGAACGCUGGCGGCGUGCCUAAUACAUGCAAGUCGAACGAAGUGGGGACGGGUGAGUAACACGUGGGUAACCUCCCCAUCAGAGGGGAUAACACUUGGAAACAGGUGCUAAACCGAUAUUGUUGGAUGGACCCGCGGUGCAGUAGCUAGUUGGUGAGGUAACGGCUCACCAAGGCCACGCUGCAUAUCCGACCUGGUAGGGUGAUCGUCAACACUGGGACUGAGACACGGCCCAGACUCCUACGGUAGGCAGCAGUAGGGAAUCUUCGGCAAUGGACGAAAUUCUGACCGAGCAACGCCGCGUGAGUGAAGAAGGUUUUCGGAUCGUAAAACUCUGUUGUUAGAGAAGCGGUAUCUAACCAGAAAGCCACGGCUAACUACGUGCCAUCAGCCGCGGUAAUUC
rnacentral:rRNA from 1 species